CCGGUGCCCCACGCCUGCCCUCCACACACCGCCAGCGGGUGGGCAGGAUUUCCGAGGGCCGGCGGGCAGAGCGAGAAGGGUAGCCCCCCGGUUGUCAGGAACCCCCGUCCCUUGUCUGGCACAUCCUAGGCCCGGCCGGAGAGAUUGGGACAUCCCCACGUGGAUGAUCUGCUUGUGCCCUGAGAAUGCUGAAGUUUGUGUGCUUUCUGUCAGUCCCAGAGUCACGCCAGCUUUCUGCUUGUGCUUGUAAGUUGUCUGCAAAGAUUCAUACUCUCUGUCCAUGAGGGUGUGUGCAGGGAGCUGGCCAGAGGAGGUCAGGGAGGUGUGCAGAGCAUUGGAGAUACACUUGGACCAGUUGGGGGAUCUGCAGUUCCUGGACCAGGGAUUGAACCCACGCCCUCUACAGUGGGAGCGCAGUCUUAACUUCUGGACCACCAAGGAAUUCCCCUGGAGAUGGAACUUUUCUGCUGGAUUCCUAGACUCCCACAAAGAUACUGUCACUCAUCAGUGGCUACCAGAAUUGAUGUUCUGUGGGCGGGGAUGGUGAUAGGAAACUUCUAUUCUGCUAUCUUGCUGGUCACUCCUCCAGUAGCAGUUCUUUAAACAUUUGGCAAAAUUCACCCGUAAAACUAUCGUGUCUUGGGCUUCUCUUUGUGAGAAGUUAGAACCCACCUGCCAAUGCAGGAGACAUAAGAGACGCUGGUUC